UGAACUGUUCCAGUUGCCAUUGUUUGC
rnacentral:piRNA from 1 species